rnacentral:tRNA from 1 species
UAGCUCAGUGGUAGAGCGCGUGCCUAGCAUGCACAAGGUCCUGGGCUCAAUCCCCAG